rnacentral:rRNA from 1 species
CCCACUUGUGGGUGGAUUAGUGGCGAACGGGUGAGUAACACGUGAGUAACCUGCCCUUGACUCUGGGAUAAGCCUGGGAAACUGGGUCUAAUACCGGAUAUGACCUUCCAUCGCAUGGUGGUUGGUGGAAAGCUUUUGUGGUUUUGGAUGGACUCGCGGCCUAUCAGCUUGUUGGUGGGGUAAUGGCCUACCAAGGCGACGACGGGUAGCCGGCCUGAGAGGGUGACCGGCCACACUGGGACUGAGACACGGCCCAGACUCCUACGGGAGGCAGCAGUGGGGAAUAUUGCACAAUGGGCGCAAGCCUGAUGCAGCGACGCCGCGUGAGGGAUGACGGCCUUCGGGUUGUAAACCUCUUUCAGUAGGGAAGAAGCGAAAGUGACGGUACCUGCAGAAGAAGCGCCGGCUAACUACGUGCCAGCAGCCGCGGUAAUACGUAGGGCGCAAGCGUUAUCCGGAAUUAUUGGGCGUAAAGAGCUCGUAGGCGGUUUGUCGCGUCUGCCGUGAAAGUCCGGGGCUCAACUCCGGAUCUGCGGUGGGUACGGGCAGACUAGAGUGAUGUAGGGGAGACUGGAAUUCCUGGUGUAGCGGUGAAAUGCGCAGAUAUCAGGAGGAACACCGAUGGCGAAGGCAGGUCUCUGGGCAUUAACUGACGCUGAGGAGCGAAAGCAUGGGGAGCGAACAGGAUUAGAUACCCUGGUAGUCCAUGCCGUAAACGUUGGGCACUAGGUGUGGGGGACAUUCCACGUUUUCCGCGCCGUAGCUAACGCAUUAAGUGCCCCGCCUGGGGAGUACGGCCGCAAGGCUAAAACUCAAAGGAAUUGACGGGGGCCCGCACAAGCGGCGGAGCAUGCGGAUUAAUUCGAUGCAACGCGAAGAACCUUACCAAGGCUUGACAUGGACCGGACCGCCGCAGAAAUGUGGUUUCCCCUUUGGGGCCGGUUUACAGGUGGUGCAUGGUUGUCGUCAGCUCGUGUCGUGAGAUGUUGGGUUAAGUCCCGCAACGAGCGCAACCCUCGUUCUAUGUUGCCAGCGGUUCGGCCGGGGACUCAUAGGAGACUGCCGGGGUCAACUCGGAGGAAGGUGGGGACGACGUCAAAUCAUCAUGCCCCUUAUGUCUUGGGCUUCACGCAUGCUACAAUGGCCGGUACAAAGGGUUGCGAUACUGUGAGGUGGAGCUAAUCCCAAAAAGCCGGUCUCAGUUCGGAUUGGGGUCUGCAACUCGACCCCAUGAAGUCGGAGUCGCUAGUAAUCGCAGAUCAGCAACGCUGCGGUGAAUACGUUCCCGGGCCUUGUACACACCGCCCGUCAAGUCACGAAAGUUGGUAACACCCGAAGCCGGUGG